CCUACGGGAGGCAGCAGUGGGGAAUAUUGGGCAAUGGAGGAAACUCUGACCCAGCGACGCCGCGUGCGGGAUGAAGGCCUUCGGGUUGUAAACCGCUUUCAGCAGGGAAGAAGCGAAAGUGACGGUACCUGCAGAAGAAGCACCGGCUAACUAUGUGCCAGCAGCCGCGGUAAUACAUAGGGUGCAAGCGUUGUCCGGAAUUAUUGGGCGUAAAGAGCUCGUAGGUGGUUCGUCACGUCGGAUGUGAAAAUCUGGGGCUUAACCCCAGACCUGCAUUCGAUACGGGCGAGCUUGAGUAUGGUAGGGGAGUCUGGAAUUCCUGGUGUAGCGGUGGAAUGCGCAGAUAUCGGGAGGAACACCAAUGGCGAAGGCAGGACUCUGGGCCAUUACUGACACUGAGGAGCGAAAGCGUGGGGAGCGAACAGGAUUAGAUACCCUGGUAGUCCACGCCGUAAACGGUGGGCACUAGUUGUGGGGACCUUCCACGGUCUCUGCGACGCAGCUAACGCAUUAAGUGCCCCGCCUGGGGAGUCGAUCGCAAGNUUAAAACUCAAAGGAAUUGACGG
rnacentral:rRNA from 1 species